ACGGAAGGCAGCAGUGAGGAAUAUUGGUCAAUGGGCGGGAGCCUGAACCAGCCAAGUCGCGUGAAGGAUGAAGGUAUUAUGUAUUGUAAACUUCUUUAGUCGCAGAGAAAUAAGGGGAUCGUGAUCCCUGAUGCUAGUAUGCGAAGAAUAAGGAUCGGCUAACUCCGUGCCAGCAGCCGCGGUAAUACGGAGGAUCCGAGCGUUAUCCGGAUUUAUUGGGUUUAAAGGGUGCGCAGGCGGCUUUUUAAGUCAGUGGUCAAAUGGUGGGGCUCACCCCCAUCCCGCCAUUGAUACUGGAGAGCUUGAUUGCGGUCGAGGUUGGCGGAAUUCGUCGUGUAGCGGUGAAAUGCAUAGAUAUGACGAAGAACACCGAUUGCGUAGGCAGCUGACCAGGCCGUAAAUGACGCUCAUGCACGAAAGUGCGGGGAUCGAACAGGAUUAGAUACCCUGGUA
rnacentral:rRNA from 1 species